CCUACACAGGGGGAUAACACCUGGAAACAGGUGCUGAUACCGCAUAAGCGCACAGGGCCGCAUGGCCCGGUGUGAAAAACUCCGGUGGUGUAAGAUGGACCCGCGUCUGAUUAGCUUGUUGGCGGGGUAGGGGCCCACCAAGGCGACGAUCAGUAGCUGGCCUGAGAGGGUGGACGGCCACAUUGGGACUGAGACACGGCCCAAACUCCUACGGAAGGCAGCAG
rnacentral:rRNA from 1 species